rnacentral:rRNA from 1 species
CACGGGUGAGUAACACGUAUCCAACCUGCCGUCUACUCUUGGACAGCCUUCUGAAAGGAAGAUUAAUACAAGAUGGCAUCAUGAGUUCACAUGUUCACAUGAUUAAAGGUAUUCCGGUAGACGAUGGGGAUGCGUUCCAUUAGAUAGUAGGCGGGGUAGCGGCCCACCUAGUCUUCGAUGGAUAGGGGUUCUGAGAGGAAGGUCCCCCACAUUGGAACUGAGACACGGUCCAA